UAUUGCUGGUAAAAACAAUAGGGCUGUCAAGCCAGAGGCUAUGGUGCACACUGGAGGGUCAAUAAGCUUUGGACAACACUUGAAAAAGAUGGAGGCAGAGCGUAAUGGGUCUGUUUCUUAUGGUGAACUAUACAACAAAGUUCAUAAAAAAAAAGACGGUCAAUAUGUUUCCAAUAAAGCAAAAAAUUUCAAUGAAUCAUAUGAAAGUGCUAUGGUAGAAAAAUAUGCAGAAGA